GACGUAGGGGGCAAGCGUUGCUCGGAAUUACUGGGCGUAAAGGGCUCGUAGGCGGUGCGGCAAGUCGGGUGUGAAAUCUCUGGGCUUAACUCAGGGGCUGCUUCCGAAACUGCCGUGCUUGAGUGCGGGAGAGGCGAGUGGAAUUGCAGGUGUAGCGGUGAAAUGCGUAGAUAUCUGCAGGAACACCCGUGGCGAAGGCGGCUCGCUGGACCGCAACUGACGCUGAGGAACGAAAGCUAGGGGAGCAAACAGG
rnacentral:rRNA from 1 species